CGUUGAGCCAGUCCGAGGAAAAAUACACGGGAGUGGUGUAAACAUCCUGCUCCGGGAAAGCCCUGGAAAACACAAACCCUUGGAAAAGCAGCUCGGGAAAACGGGAUGGGAUUCCCGAAUCCAGCGGGAAGAGCAAGGACCCAUCCCUCUCAAGGGGGAUCCCACACAAGGACUCGUCAAAUCCGCUCGUCCCAUCAGAAUUCCGGGCUUGGAAUAUUCCCAAGGAAUUGUGCCCAAAUCCCAGGACCGUCAUUCCAGCCUUGUUUAUUUCCAGUGACCUGAAUUUUCCUCCUCUUUGUUCCGUGUGCCCCAAAUUUUCCGGGAUUUUCUUUGGCGUGACCUGAAUUUUCUGGUUUGUUCUUUAAAGGGAAUUUCCCUCUAAAAUCCCAUUAGGAUCGAGGUAUGGAUGAGGAUUUAAUAUUAAAAUAUGCUCAUAAAUCUUGUGUAAUUAACCAGUGAUUCACUGGUAAUUACUAGUUAAUAUUUCUAAAAGGAAUUCAAAAUAAUUACAAAUAUAUUAUUAUUAAUUAUAUUUUAUAUUUGUUAUUUCUCUAUUUAAUUAUUUUACUAUUUAUUUUAAUAAUAAUAAUUUAUAAUUUAAUUAUAAGUUUAAUUUUCCUGCUCUUGAUUUCAUGUGCCCCAAAUUUUCCGGGAUUUUCUUUGGCGUGACCUGAAUUUCCAGUUUGUUCUUUAAAGGGAAUUUCCCUCCAAAAUCCCAUUAGGAUCGAGGAUUUGGAAGAAAUUUCAGGAUUUACCAGAAUUCCACAGGAGAUGCUCAAAGUUGAGUUUUCCACGGGAAAAAAAUCUAUGGAAUAAUUUAGGGAAAAAGGUUGGAAUUUUGAGAUUUUUAGUGUUUUUAUCCCUAAAAUUCCAUCCUAAAAGCCUGCAUCCUUCAGGAUUUGGAAGAAACCCCAGCACUCACCGAACUCCCGCAGGAGACGCUUGAAGUUGGAUUUCCCGAUUCUAAAAAAUCCAUGGAUUUCAGAAAAAAACUUGGAAUUUUGGGGGUUUUUAGUGCUUUUAUCCCUAAAAUUCCAUCCUAAACCCCUCCAUCCUUCAGGAUUUGGAAGAAAUUCCAGCACUCACCGAACUCCCGCAGGAGACGCUCGAAGUUGGGUUUCCCGAUUCUAAAAAAUCCAUGGAUUUUGGAAAAAAACUUGGAAUUUUUGGGUUUUUUAGUGCUUUUAUCCCUAAAAUCCAAUCCUAAAAACCUAUUAUUGGAAUGAAUUCC